rnacentral:rRNA from 1 species
UACGUAGGGUGCGAGCGUUAAUCGGAAUUACUGGGCGUAAAGCGUGCGUAGGCGGUUCGCUGUGUCCGAUGUGAAAGCCCCGGGCUUAACCUGGGAAUGGCAUUGGAAACUGGCGGGCUUGAGUGUGGCAGAGGGGGGUGGAAUUCCGCGUGUAGCAGUGAAAUGCGUAGAGAUGCGGAGGAACACCGAUGGCGAAGGCAGCCUCCUGGGCUAGUACUGACGCUCAUGCACGAAAGCGUGGGGAGCAAACAGG